GUGAGGAAUUUUCGUCAAUGGGGGCAACCCUGAACGAGCAACGCCGCGUGCAGGAAGACGGCCUUCGGGUUGUAAACUGCUUUUCUCUGGGACGAGAACGGACGGUACCAGAGGAAUCAGCUCCGGCUAACUACGUGCCAGCAGCCGCGGUAAUACGUAGGGAGCAAGCGUUGUCCGGAGUUACUGGGCGUAAAGCGCAUGCAGGCGGUCGUUUAAGUUUGUGAUGACAGUUCCCGGCUUAACUGGGAAAGUGUUACGAAGACUGGACGACUUGAGGGCUUCAGAGGGAUGUGGAACUCCGGGUGGAGUGGUGAAAUGCGUAGAUAUCCGGAAGAACACCAAAGGCGAAGGCAGCAUCCUGGGAAGCACCUGACGCUCAGAUGCGAAAGCCAGGGGAGCGAACGGGAUUAGAUACCCCUGUAGUCC
rnacentral:rRNA from 1 species